rnacentral:rRNA from 1 species
AAUAGAUACCCCCGGUAGUCCACGCCGUAAACGAUGAGUGCUAAGUGUUAGAGGGUUUCCGCCCUUUAGUGCUGAAGUUAACGCAUUAAGCACUCCGCCUGGGGAGUACGGCCGCAAGGCUGAAACUCAAAGGAAUUGACGGGGGCCCGCACAAGCGGUGGAGCAUGUGGUUUAAUUCGAAGCAACGCGAAGAACCUUACCAGGUCUUGACAUCCUCUGACAACCCUAGAGAUAGGGCUUCUCCUUCGGGAGCAGAGUGACAGGUGGUGCAUGGUUGUCGUCAGCUCGUGUCGUGAGAUGUUGGGUUAAGUCCCGCAACGAGCGCAACCCUUGAUCUUAGUUGCCAUCAUUAAGUUGGGCACUCUAAGGUGACUGCCGGUGACAAACCGGAGGAAGGUGGGGAUGACGUCAAAUCAUCAUGCCCCCUUAUGACCUGGGCUACACACGUGCUACAAUGGACGGUACAAAGAGCUGCAAGACCGCGAGGUGGAGCUAAUCUCAUAAAACCCGUUCUCAGUUCGGAUUGUAGGCUGCAACG